UCACAUUCUCUUUAUCUCUCACCUUUAUAAUUAAAUUAAUUAUUAAUUAUUUAUCAAUGUAUCCUUUCUCCAACUCCAACGCUACUGCCUGUCUACCUCCUUCCUUACCUUCUGCCGGAAAACUCCAACUUGAACAACUCGAGAAAAUUUUCCAAUAGCAGAAGAUAAUGGACCUCACAAACCCAAAUAAAAAUCCAACUUAACAAAAAUUUUCCAGACUUUUAGUACUACCAUCUGCAUUGGAGGUAGCGAGGAGCUUACACAAACCAAAU
rnacentral:misc_RNA from 1 species